rnacentral:rRNA from 1 species
GUGGGGAAUCUUGCGCAAUGGGCGAAAGCCUGACGCAGCCAUGCCGCGUGAAUGAUGAAGGUCUUAGGAUUGUAAAAUUCUUUCACCGGGGACGAUAAUGACGGUACCCGGAGAAGAAGCUCCGGCUAACUUCGUGCCAGCAGCCGCGGUAAUACGAAGGGGGCUAGCGUUGCUCGGAAUUACUGGGCGUAAAGGGCGCGUAGGCGGACAGCUUAGUCAGAGGUGAAAGCCCAGGGCUCAACCUUGGAAUUGCCUUUGAUACGGGCUGUCUUGAGUGUGGGAGAGGGGAGUGGAACUCCGAGUGUAGAGGUGAAAUACGUAGAUAUUCGGAAGAACACCAGUGGCGAAGGCGACUCACUGGCCCAAUACUGACGAUGAGGCGCGAAAGCGUGGGGAGCAAACAGGAUUAGAAACACUAGUAGUCC